rnacentral:lncRNA from 1 species
CGUUUAUCUAAAAUCAGUUAUCCUAACUAUUUAAUAGAAAAUGGAUUUAGUAAUUUUUCCUAAGCUCUUCAUAUACAAUUAAUAUUAAACAUAUAAUGAAUUAUUUACUGUGAGGGCCCAUGCCGUGUUUUUCGUGAUUAUUCUUCUGUAAUCGCCUUUUAAAUGUUCUGUAAGAUCGGUAUAGGCCUACAUAUAUCUGCUAAGCGUUCAAGCAAUUCAUGCCUCCUGUCUUCAUAUGUUAUGUUGCAAGUUUUAAACUUUCUUUGGACCAAAAACCUCCUCUUGGAUCCUUAUAUACUUAUCAAUCAAUUUAAGAAAAUAAAUUAUAAAAAUUUAGAUUGGGCAUUUAAUCCUGAAGAAAUUGCCAUCUUUCUCGUUGAUCAAGCGUGAGAUGCAACUUUUAAAAAUAAUUAAUUUAGUCCUUAGAACAUCAAAAGCAAAGUACUCUUUAAAGUCCCGCACACGCACACACACACACACACACACAUAUAUAUAUAUAUUUUUUACUAUUCUGAUAUUAUUACCAUCAACAAUAUUACUUAAAAAAAAUGACUAUAAUUUUUGGAUGAA